GGGCCCACACAAGCGGUGGAGCAUGUGGUUUAAUUCGAUGAUACGCGAGGAACCUUACCAGGGCUUAAAUGUAAGUUGCAUAGACCAGAGAUGGUCUUUUCUUCGGACUACUUACAAGGUGCUGCAUGGUUGUCGUCAGCUCGUGCCGUGAGGUGUCAGGUUAAGUCCUAUAACGAGCGCAACCCCUGUCGUUAGUUGCCAUCAAGUAAAGUUGGGUACUCUAGCGAGACUGCCGGUGCAAACCGUGAGGAAGGUGGGAUGACGUCAAAUCAUCACGGCCCUUACGUCCUGGCUACACACGUGCUACAAUGGCCGGUACAGAGAGCAGCCACUACGCGAGUAGGAG
rnacentral:rRNA from 1 species